rnacentral:rRNA from 1 species
AUUGAACGCUGGCGGCAUGCUUUACACACGCAAGUCGAGCGGUAACAGGCCGCAAGGUGCUGACGAGUGGCGAACGGGUGAGUAAUGCAUCGGAACGUGCCCAGUCGUGGGGGAUAACUACUCGAAAGAGUAGCUAAUACCGCAUACGAUCUAUGGAUGAAAGCGGGGGACCGUAAGGCCUCGCGCGAUUGGAGCGGCCGAUGUCAGAUUAGGUAGUUGGUGGGGUAAAGGCUCACCAAGCCAACGAUCUGUAGCUGGUCUGAGAGGACGACCAGCCACACUGGGACUGAGACACGGCCCAGACUCCUACGGGAGGCAGCAGUGGGGAAUUUUGGACAAUGGGCGCAAGCCUGAUCCAGCAAUGCCGCGUGCAGGAAGAAGGCCUUCGGGUUGUAAACUGCUUUUGUACGGAACGAAACGGCUCUGGUUAAUACCCGGGGCUAAUGACGGUACCGUAAGAAUAAGCACCGGCUAACUACGUG